rnacentral:rRNA from 1 species
GACGAACGCUGGCGGCGUGCUUAACACAUGCAAGUCGAACGAAGAGCGGCGGACGCUUGCUUCUAUCAAUCUUAGUGGCGAACGGGUGAGUAACGCGUAAUCAACCUGCCCUUCAGAGGGGGACAACAGUUGGAAACGACUGCUAAUACCGCAUACGAUCUAAUCUCGGCAUCGAGGAUGGAUGAAAGGUGGCCUCUACAUGUAAGCUAUCACUGAAGGAGGGGAUUGCGUCUGAUUAGCUAGUUGGAGGGGGAACGGCCCACCAAGGCGAUGAUCAGUAGCCGGUCUGAGAGGAUGAACGGCCACAUUGGGACUGAGACACGGCCCAGACUCCUACGGGAGGCAGCAGUGGGGAAUCUUCCGCAAUGGACGAAAGUCUGACGGAGCAACGCCGCGUGAGUGAUGACGGCCUUCGGGUUGUAAAGCUCUGUUAAUCGGGACGAAAGGCCUUCUUGCGAAUAGUGAGAAGGAUUGACGGUACCGGAAUAGAAAGCCACGGCUAACUACGUG